UAGAGUUUGAUCCUGGCUCAGGACGAACGCUGGCGGUGUGCUUCACACAUGCAAGUCGAACGAGGUAGCAAUACCUAGUGGCGGACGGGUGAGUAACGCGUGGGAAUCUGCCUUUAGAUGGGGGAUAACGAGCCGAAAGGUUCGCUAAUACCGCAUAUGCCGUAAGGUGAAAGGAGUAAUCCGUCUAGAGAUGAGCCCGCGUCCGAUUAGCUAGUUGGUAGGGUAAAGGCCUACCAAGGCGACGAUCGGUAGCUGGUCUGAGAGGAUGAUCAGCCACAAUGGGACUGAGACACGGCCCAUACUCCUACGGGAGGCAGCAGUGGGGAAUUUUACGCAAUGGGGGAAACCCUGACGUAGCGACACCGCGUGAGCGAAGAAGCCCCUUGGGGUGUAAAGCUCUGUCGGCUGGAACGAAAAAAAUGACGGUACCAGCAAAGGAAGCAUCGGCUAACUACGUGCCAGCAGCCCCGGUCAA
rnacentral:rRNA from 1 species